rnacentral:rRNA from 1 species
AUUGAACGCUGGCGGCAUGCCUUACACAUGCAAGUCGAACGGCAGCACGGGUGCUUGCACCUGGUGGCGAGUGGCGAACGGGUGAGUAAUACAUCGGAACGUACCUUAUCGUGGGGGAUAACGCGGCGAAAGCUGUGCUAAUACCGCAUACGCCCUGAGGGGGAAAGCGGGGGAUCGCAAGACCUCGCGCGAUUAGAGCGGCCGAUGCCUGAUUAGCUUGUUGGUGGGGUAAAAGCCCACCAAGGCGACGAUCAGUAGCUGGUCUGAGAGGACGAUCAGCCACACUGGGACUGAGACACGGCCCAGACUCCUACGGGAGGCAGCAGUGGGGAAUUUUGGACAAUGGGGGCAACCCUGAUCCAGCAAUGCCGCGUGAGUGAAGAAGGCCUUCGGGUUGUAAAGCUCUUUUGUCAGGGAAGAAACACCGGCUCUAACACAGUCCGGGAAUGACGGUACCUGAAGAAUAAGCACCGGCUAACUACGUGCCAGCAGCCGCUGUAA